GAUGAACGCUGGCGGCGUGCUUAACACAUGCAAGUCGAACGAUUAAAGCCCCUUCGGGGGUGUAUAGAGUGGCGAACGGGUGAGUAACACGUGGGUAACCUGCCCUAUGCUUUGGGAUAACUCAGGGAAACUUGAGCUAAUACCGAAUACUCCGGACUGAUCGCAUGGUCGGUCCGGGAAAGUUCCGGCGGCAUAGGAUGGACCCGCGGCCCAUUAGCUUGUUGGUGAGGUAACGGCUCACCAAGGCGACAAUGGGUAGCCGAGCAGAGAGGCUGAUCGGCGAAAGUGGGACUGAGACACGGCCCAGACUCCAACGGGAGGCAGCAGUGGGGAAUUUUGCGCAAUGGGCUAAAGACUGACGGAGCAACGCCGCGUGCGGGAUGAAGGCCUUCGGGUUGUAAACCGCUUUCAGCAGGGAUGAAACUGACAGUACCUGCAGAAGAGGCCCCGGCUAACUACGUGCCAGCCGCCGCCGUAAAAC
rnacentral:rRNA from 1 species